UAACUUAAUAAAUCAACAGGUGUCAGCUGACAUUAAAAAUGUUAAGCUGGUGAAAAGGGAAGUUGGGUGUAAGUCCCACGCGGUCCCGCCGCUGUAUGAGAAAAGUCACUCCAGGAAUGCCACUAAAAGGGAAGGCAGGAGAUGAUGAGUUGAAACUCGAGCCAGAAGACCUGCCUGUGUGAUGUCCUGAAAC
rnacentral:ncRNA from 1 species